GCAAGUCGAGCGGAUGAGAGGAGCUUGCUCCCUGAUUUAGCGGCGGACGGGUGAGUAAUGCCUAGGAAUCUGCCUGGUAGUGGGGGAUAACGUUCCGAAAGGAACGCUAAUACCGCAUACGUCCUACGGGAGAAAGCAGGGGACCUUCGGGCCUUGCGCUAUCAGAUGAGCCUAGGUCGGAUUAGCUAGUUGGUGAGGUAAUGGCUCACCAAGGCGACGAUCCGUAACUGGUCUGAGAGGAUGAUCAGUCACACUGGAACUGAGACACGGUCCAGACUCCUACGGGAGGCAGCAGUGGGGAAUAUUGGACAAUGGGCGAAAGCCUGAUCCAGCCAUGCCGCGUGUGUGAAGAAGGUCUUCGGAUUGUAAAGCACUUUAAGUUGGGAGGAAGGGCAGUAAGCUAAUACCUUGCUGUUUUGACGUUACCGACAGAAUAAGCACCGGCUAACUUCGUGCCAGCAGCCGCGGUAAUACGAAGGGUGCAAGCGUUAAUCGGAAUUACUGGGCGUAAAGCGCGCGUAGGUGGUUCGUUAAGUUGGAUGUGAAAGCCCCGGGCUCAACCUGGGAACUGCAUCCAAAACUGGCGAGCUAGAGUACGGUAGAGGGUGGUGGAAUUUCCUGUGUAGCGGUGAAAUGCGUAGAUAUAGGAAGGAACACCAGUGGCGAAGGCGACCACCUGGACUGAUACUGACACUGAGGUGCGAAAGCGUGGGGAGCAAACAGGAUU
rnacentral:rRNA from 1 species